CACCCGGUAGCACAUGGUGUGCAUCUGCAGACCUUACAAAGUGCCCAGUUGAUCAAAUGAAGUCGCAGAAGGUCCCCGUUCGAUCCGGGGUCGGGUGU